GGCGGCACGCCUAACACAUGCAAGUCGAACGAAGUAGCAAUACUUAGUGGCAGACGGGUGAGUAACAUGUAGGUAUCUACCCUUUGGCCUGGAAUAACACGAGGAAACUUGUGCUAAUACCGGAUAAGUCUUUACGGAGAAAGCUUUAUGCACCAUUGGAUGAGCCUGCACUUGAUUAGUUUGUUGGUGGGGUAAUGGCCUACCAAGGCUGUGAUCAAUAGCUGAUUUGAGAGGAUGAUCAGCCACAUUGGGAGUGAGACACGGCCCAAACUCCUACGGGAGGCAGCAGUGGGGAAUCUUGCACAAUGGAGGAAACUCUGAUGCAGCGAUGCCGCGUGAGUGAAGAAGGCCUUUGGGUUGUAAAGCUCUUUCGUCGGGGAAGAAAAUGACUGUACCCGAAUAAGAAGGUCCGGC
rnacentral:rRNA from 1 species